rnacentral:rRNA from 1 species
GAUAAACGCUGGCGGCGUGCUUAACACAUGCAAGUCGAACGAAGUUUUUCCUUCUGGAGAAACUUAGUGGCGGACGGGUGCGUAACUCGUGGGUAACCUGCCCUGUACAGGGGGACAACAGCUGGAAACGGCUGCUAAUACCGCAUAAGCCCUUAGCACUGCAUGGUGCAUAGGGAAAAGGAGCAAUCCGGUACAGGAUGGACCCGCGUCUGAUUAGCCAGUUGGCAGGGUAACGGCCUACCAAAGGGAGGAUCAGUAGCCGAUCUGAGAGGAUGUACGGCCACAUUGGGACUGAGACACGGCCCAGACUCCUACGGGAGGCAGCAGUGGGGAAUAUUGCACAAUGGAGGAAACUCUGAUGCAGCGACGCCGCGUGAGUGAAGAAGUAUUUCGGUAUGUAAAGCUCUAUCAGCAGGGAAGAAAAUGACGGUACCUGACUAAGAAGCACCGGCUAAAUACGUG